rnacentral:rRNA from 1 species
CUACGGGAUGCUCCAGUGAGGAAUAUUGCACAAUGGGGGGAACCCUGAUGCAGCAACGCCGCGUGGAGGAUGACGCAUUUCGGUGUGUAAACUCCUUUUAUAUGUCAAGAAAAUGACGGUAGCAUAUGAAUAAGCACCGGCUAACUCCGUGCCAGCAGCCGCGGUAAUACGGAGGGUGCAAGCGUUACUCGGAAGCACUGGGUGUAAAGGACGCGUAGGCGGGUUGGAAAGUCAGGUGUGAAAUCCUACAGCUUAACUGUAGAACUGCACUUGAAACUUCUAAUCUAGAGUAUGGGAGGGGGAGAUGGAAUUAGUGGUGUAGGGGUAAAAUCCGUAGAUAUCACUAGGAAUACCUAAAGCGAAGGCGAUCUCCUGGAACAUUACUGACGCUAAGGCGUGAAAGCGUGGGGAGCAAACAGGAUUAGAUACCCCCGUAGUC